CUCAUGACCAUGUCUACAUAUCUUUUCUUGUUUUCUAUGUUUUUUCCCUUUUCCCAAAACGUCUUGUGUGUGGCUAGUUAUAUUGAAGGCCAAUUCGUAUUUGUUGUGCACAUCUAUUCGAUAACAUAAGUCUCAAGAUAUGAUAUUCUGUCUGUUUAUCUGUAUAGCAACGUUCUGCAACAAAGGUAACGUUUCCCCUUGUGUGGACAAACACCUGUUGCAGCCAUCCACUCUACCGUGAAUCUGAGCUUAUCGCUGAGGAGGCCCUUGGAGCAAGGAAUGCCGCACAGAGGAAGCUGUUAGAUGAACUGGGUAUUCCUGCUGAAGAUGUGCCAGUUGAUCAAUUUACCCCACUAGGAAAGAUGCUGUAAAAAGCUCCUUCUGAUGGAAAAUGGGGCGAGCACGAACGUAAUAAUUCUUACUUUAUUAAUUUAUAUACUAUACAUCAUAUUCUGUCCCCCCUAUGGUGUGGUAACUGGACUCUAUAAACCAUUUAUAUGCAAAAAAAAUAUAUAGAAUCAAGAUACCGUGUGCGAUUGGCUAUCGCACUGUUCACUACUUUCCCCCAAAAGAAAAAAAAAACAUGUCAACUUAUGUUAUAGUUUUUGAGUAUCAUUCCAAAACAUACCUGGGAUGUCUGUUUUCUUAUGUAGUGCCAAAGUUUCUAUACAAUGAAGAAUGAGUCUUGGUUUUGCUAAA